rnacentral:lncRNA from 1 species
CAGGUCUGGAGCCCGGGUGCGUUGGAGCAGGCCAGGUACCCAAGCCCACAGUGUUGGGCCUGGGGCCUGGGGCCUGUGUCUACUUGGGUGGACCCGGGUCUGGAUUAGCAAGAACUGACUAGGCACCAGGGACAACUGCAGUGGGACUGGUGACUGGGUGCUUUAAUCUCUCACCCGGAAUCCUUGGCUCUUGUGAAGGCAUUUUCAUGAGUGGAUCAUUCAUCAGAUUGCUGUUUCUGCAAAGGGAUGACUGCUAGAAACUCUUACUCAACCAUCUUGCUGAUAUUGCUCCAAGAAUUCAGUUUUGAAUUAAAACUAAUGCUGAGAAAUAUGGGAGAAAAUGGAAAUCAGCGAUAGAGACAGACAAGGAAAGGCCAGUGAGCACAGAAAGAAAACAUGUACUGGCGUGUGAGGAGUUGUCAGGUUGCCCAAGACACCAGGCAGCCUCCACCCAGCUUGACCUCCAUCUGAGCGUGACUGAGGCCUGUGGGUGCAGGGGAGCCCCUUCCCUGGGCUGGAGAUCCUCUGCCUUCGCAUGCUGGACACAAAGGACGGCUCCUUCAUCUUCACUUCCUCCCAAUCCGAAGACUUGGAAUUCCUAGAACACACCAAGAAAGGUGAGGCUUUCUUUCUCUUCACAUACUGUUUGGGUCACCCCUCAC